UUUUGGUCCAUAUUUACUUUA
rnacentral:miRNA from 1 species